rnacentral:rRNA from 1 species
UCCUACGGGAGGCAGCAGUGGGGAAUAUUGCGCAAUGGGGGGAACCCUGACGCAGCCAUGCCGCGUGAAUGAAGAAGGCCUUCGGGUUGUAAAGUUCUUUCGGUAAUGAGGAAGGGAUGUUGUUAAAUAGAUAGCAUCAUUGACGUUAAUUACAGAAGAAGCACCGGCUAACUCCGUGCCAGCAGCCGCGGUAAUACGGAGGGUGCGAGCGUUAAUCGGAAUAACUGGGCGUAAAGGGCACGCAGGCGGACUUUUAAGUGAGAUGUGAAAUCCCCGAGCUUAACUUGGGAACUGCAUUUCAGACUGGGAGUCUAGAGUACUUUAGGGAGGGGUAGAAUUCCACGUGUAGCGGUGAAAUGCGUAGAGAUGUGGAGGNAUACCGAAGGCGAAGGCAGCCCCUUGGGAAUGUACUGACGCUCAUGUGCGAAAGCGUGGGGAGCAAACAGGAUUAGAUACCCUGGUAGUCC